rnacentral:rRNA from 1 species
AUGAACGCUAGCGGCAGGCCUAAUACAUGCAAGUCGGACGGGAUUCAGGAGCUUGCUUCUGAUGAGAGUGGCGCACGGGUGCGUAACACGUAUGUAACCUACCUUUAUCAGGGGGAUAGCCUCUCGAAAGAGAGAUUAAGCCCGCAUAAAAUCACAGCACAGCAUUGUGUAAUGAUCAAAUAUUUAUAGGAUAAAGAUGGGCAUGCGGAACAUUAGCUAGAUGGCGGGGUAACGGCCCACCAUGGCGACGAUGUUUAGGGGAUCUGAGAGGAUGGCCCCCCACACUGGUACUGAGACACGGACCAGACUCCUACGGGAGGCAGCAGUAAGGAAUAUUGGUCAAUGGGCGGAAGCCUGAACCAGCCAUGCCGCGUGCAGGAAGACGGCCCUACGGGUUGUAAACUGCUUUUAUACGGGAAUAAACCCAGAUACGUGUAUCUGGCUGAAUGUACUGUAAGAAUAAGGAUCGGCUAACCCCGUG